rnacentral:misc_RNA from 1 species
AAUUCUCAACUCCCUUUGAUUUCUUCAAGGGUGAGCUUGGACCGUGGAGGCUCUGCCGGCUGUGAAGUCGGCUCCUCUGAAAUGCAUUGGCAAAUGCGUGUGCAUGAAAUCGGCCUUUCGGUGUGAUAAUGAUCACCGUGGCUGGAUUGCUUUAACGUCUAUGCCCAACCUUUUCCAUUUACUUGGGAAAACCCCACUUGACA